rfam:Myotis brandtii contig281147, whole genome shotgun sequence.
GAGACAUCCUUAUGGGGCAAGUCUUGCUUCAGUGGGGCUUUGGUGCUCACUGAGUCUGCCCCUUGAGUGUGUCGCU